rnacentral:misc_RNA from 1 species
CGCGGGCGCGACCACGACCAUGGUCUACAAGGUCUAUGCGGAUGGACGCCUCGGUGGCGAUCUUGGCGGCUCCGCCGCGCAAUCCGUCGUGCUGAUGGUGAUCGUCAUCGCGCUGACCGCCGUCCAGUUCCGCUACGUCGAACGCAAGGUGCAGUACUGAUGGUGGAGCAUCGUCCGCUGCGCGAUUUCGUCGCCUACGCCAUUCUCAUCUUCGGCGUUUUCAUUGUCGUAUUCCCGGUCUAUCUCGCCGUGAUCGCCUCGACGCACGAUGCCGCCACCGUGGUCAACGGAAACAUGCCGCUGUCGCCGGGCAGCCA